GGGCCCGCACAAGCGGUGGAGCAUGUGGAUUAAUUCGACGCAACGCGAAGAACCUUACCUAGCCUUGACAUCCUUGGAACCUGCCCUAAAAGGCGGGGUGUCCUUCGGGAAAUCAAGUGACAGGUGCUGCAUGGCUGUCGUCAGCUCGUGUCGUGAGAUGUUGGGUUAAGUCCCGCAACGAGCGCAACCCUUGUCUUUAGUUGCCAUCAUUUAGUUGGGCACUCUAGAGAGACUGCCGGUGUCAAGCCGGAGGAAGGUGGGGACGACGUCAAGUCAUCAUGGCCCUUACGGCUAGGGCUUCACACGUGCUACAAUGGACGGUACAAAGGGUCGCGAAGCCGCGAGGUGGAGCUAAUCCCAAAAAGCCGUUCUCAGUUCGGAUUGGAGUCUGCAACUCGACCCCAUG
rnacentral:rRNA from 1 species